CGUACACUCCUACGGGAGGCAGCAGUGGGGAAUAUUGGACAAUGGGCGCAAGCCUGAUCCAGCCAUGCCGCGUGAGUGAUGAAGGCCCUAGGGUUGUAAAGCUCUUUCACCGGUGAAGAUAAUGACGGUAACCGGAGAAGAAGCCCCGGCUAACUUCGUGCCAGCAGCCGCGGUAAUACGAAGGGGGCUAGCGUUGUUCGGAUUUACUGGGCGUAAAGCGCACGUAGGCGGACUAUUAAGUCAGGGGUGAAAUCCCGGGGCUCAACCCCGGAACUGCCUUUGAUACUGGUAGUCUUGAGUUCGAGAGAGGUGAGUGGAAUUCCGAGUGUAGAGGUGAAAUUCGUAGAUAUUCGGAGGAACACCAGUGGCGAAGGCGGCUCACUGGCUCGAUACUGACGCUGAGGUGCGAAAGCGUGGGGAGCAAACAGGAUUAGAAACCCUAGUAGUCC
rnacentral:rRNA from 1 species